rnacentral:rRNA from 1 species
GAUGAACGCUGGCGGCGUGCUUAACACAUGCAAGUCGAACGGAAAGGCCCGGCGUUUGCGGUGUGCCCGAGUGCCGAACGGGUGAGUAACACGGGAGUAACCUCCCCUGGACUUUCUGAUAACUUCAGGAAACUGGGGCUAGGACCCGAUAGGAGCUACCGCUGAAGGGUGGGGGUCGGAAAGUUGCGGCGGUUGGGGCUCUACUCGCGUGUGAUCGGCUUGUUGUUGGGGUAGUGGCUUACCAAGGCAUUGACGGGUAGCGUGCCUGAGGGGGGGACCGGCCACGUUGGGACUGAGAUAGGGCACAGACUGCUAUGGGAGGCAGCAGUGGGGAGUAGUGCACAAUGGGCGGAAGCCUGACGCGGUAACGCCGCGUGCGGGAAGACGGGAUUCGGGUUGUAAACCGCUUUCGCCUGUGACGAAGAGUGAGUGACGGUAAUGGGUAAAGAAGCCCCGGCUAACUACGUG